ACGGAGGAUACGCUGAGGACAAGGAAGAACGAAUUGAGUAGGCUUACUUGGAGACUGGGGAGCCAUGUUAGCGCUUGGAAGCUUCUCAGAUACUCUGGCGAACGUUUCCGGGAUCUGGCAGGCUUUUAUGCAGGCGGUAACGAGGGCUGAUUGGUGACAGGUGCAUGGCCGAGGAAGGUGCUGGAAAGAGAGAGAGAGAGCGAGAGAGAGAGCGAGAGGGGACGGGAGAAAGAGGGAGAGAGGGCGCGAGGCGCCACCCGGGCUCCAACCAUAGUACAGCAGGGCGGCUCAUCAAAGGUCACAAUCUUUUGUGUGCAUUUGUUGGUUUGACCUGUGUGCAUGUGAGUGUGUUUUGAUUUUUGUCAAAACACAUUGGACAUUGUAUCUGUAGCUAUUUAUAUCAUAUGGACUGUGUAGAAAUAUCAUAUUGUUUUGACUAUACAUGGUAGCGUUUAAUUUUUUGUUUAGAGCCCUUACAUAUAACCGUUUAUAUCGAGCACAUUUGAAUGGCUGCCAUCUGCCUCACACUUCUGAGGCCCCGCCCCGCCUGUGUGGCUUUUGUGCGGGCGCGCUCCGCUUUCCUCCCACAUCCCCAAAAACCUGCGCGCCAGGUCGAUUGGAGAUUUGAAAUUGCCCAAAGGCAAUGUCGCUUUCUAUGUGGCCUGCGACCGGUUCAGGGCGUGCCACCCGAAGAUAGCCGGGACAGGCUCCAGUAUCCUCGCCACCCUCGUGAGGAGAAGCGCUUCGCAAAAUGAAGCAAUCGAUCGAUCGAUCGAUCGAUUGUCAUUGUUCAUAACCUUUGUAGAAUAGUUGAAAAUCCGUAUAUUUUGAAAGGACUGCGUAAGUACCUUGUUUUGAUUAUUAUUGCGAGAAGCUCCAGCAGUGAGGGUAAUAAGCGGUGAAGAAAAUGCUGACAUGUUGGGAAUAAAGUUGCAUUUUAUGUCAAUUUUACAACAAUAUCACUUUUGUCAAGAGACAACAAGGAUCAAGUUUUCUUUUCAUUACAAAAAGAACAAAUCUUGACUUAUAAGAAGAGUCAUAUUAUAUGUCAAUAAAUAGCAACAUUGUGAGCAGAGUCUGAAUUUUUUGGGGGUCAUAAUCUAAUGAGAAUAAAUUAGUCUUUUUUUUUUCCCCAAGAAUAAAAUGUGACUUUUUCCCGAAAAAGGUCAGACAUGAAUGAAGACAUUUCUGGAGCUGCACUGAAAUAUUAACAGAAGUUUUUUGUUGUUGUCGUGAUCUCACGAGAAUACAUUUGUAUUUUUUCUGGCCGUAAUUGUAAAAUAGUCAAAUUCCUUUCGUGAAACAAAGUUGCAAUAUGACAGGAAUAAAGGAGAAAAAGCUGUAUGAUAAUGAGAGUAAAAAAGUAAUAUUCCGAGAAUUAGGAGGUGUGUGUGUGUGUUUUUUGUUUUUUUUCUUGCAGGUUGAGUAAGGAAAACAAAGAGUCUUUGGACCCCUACGUGUAUUUGCCCUUUGGAGCGGGAUGCGCUUCGCUCUGGUCAGCAUGAAGUUGGCCAUCGUGGAGAUCCUGCAACGCUACAACUUUUGCGUGUGCGACGAGACCGAGCGGGGCCAUUCGGCAUUUAUUUUGGAGAGAAAUGCAUUUGGGACAGUUAAACGUUCAAAGUGAAAAUGCUCGCAGCUAGGAGCUCUGGAGUGAUGCAGAGGUCAGUCCAAAGCUCAAAAUGUCAACAUCCAGUCACACCCGCAUUGUGACUUUGCCCACCAGGUGCCCAUCGAGAUGGACGUGCAGGGCCGGGGCCUGCUGAUGCCCGAGCGACCAAUCAAACUGAAGUUGGCGCUCCGGUCGUGAAGCUCAAGAAGCAGGAAAUCAAACGCUUGCACGCUAGAUUCGAAAUAGAGAAUAUGAUCAGAAAAAUGCAAGAGAAAACUCCCAAAUUGUGGACAACGAUGCGCGUAAACCCGCCAAUGUGACAGAGUCAUCCGCCCUUGGGAAAAGGUUGUUGUGGCACAUUUUGAAGGUCGUCCCAGCAAAACAAUUCUAAAAUCUACGCAUGAUAGACAUGCUGGAUGGCUGAAUUUGCAAAAUGGCUGCGACCACCCAAAAUGGCAGAAUUGCCGUGUCUUUCGUGACAUGGCUUUUGGAGACUUUUUAGACAUUCCCACCGAAUUUCAUGUUGGCUUUGGGAAAAAAAAACAAUCUAAGAAUAAUAAACAAAUCUUCAACAACAAUAAAUAGAUGAAAAAAAUACUCUCUAACGAUCGAUUUGCACAGAAUACUGCUAUAUGUGACCCUCCGGCACACAUAUGAACGGAAGUUGCACAGUUGUGUUUUGAGCUUGACUCUGUUAACAAAAAUAAUUGUUAGUUGAGGUUAAAUUAAAUGAAUGAUCAAAAAUGA